GCCUGGGUGGCUCAGUCGGUUGAGCAUCUGACUUCGGCUCAGGUCAUGACCUCACAGUGCGUGAUUCGAGCCCCGCAUCGGGCU
rnacentral:tRNA from 1 species